rnacentral:rRNA from 1 species
CAAUAGCGUAUAUUAAAGUUGUUGCAGUUAAAAAGCUCGUAGUUGGAUUUCUGGUGGGAGCGAUCGGUCUGGCGCUUAGCGCGAGUACUUGCAUCGUCUCCGGCCAUCCUUGGGGAGAGUCUGUCUGGCAUUAAGUGGUCGGGCAGAGGAUCCUCAUCGUUUACUGUGAAAAAAUUAGAGUGUUCAAAGCAGGCUUAUGCCGUUGAAUAUAUUAGCAUGGAAUAAUAAGAUAGGACUUUGGUACUAUUUUGUUGGUUUGCGCACCAAAGUAAUGAUUAAUAGGGACAGUUGGGGGUAUUCGUAUUCCGUUGUCAGAGGUGAAAUUCUUGGAUUUACGGAAGACGAACUACUGCGAAAGCAUUUACCAAGGAUGUUUUCAUUAA